CUCAGUGAAGAAAACCGUGAAACCAUCGCCAGAAGGCAGCACCUUGCAGGAGAAAUAUUCUGGAUUUACAGCCUCUUGUCCUUCUUUUAGCAUCACAGCGUCUUUCUGUCACCUGCAGGCCUCAUGUGAGCCUAAACCAAGCCGGACAGGCGUUUGUUGCUUCGGUUUGGCCUCAUCUGGCUUCAGCAGGAUCUUUAAAACUUGCUCCCACAGGUCGAUCUACGAUUGCAGGACGAACACAUCCACCACUGCAGAGACAAAUCAGACAGAUGAUGGAACAUGUGGCGACUGAACACAUGAAGUGGACAGAAUCUGUACUUACAGAGUGGGAUGCAGAGAGCUGUAACCUCCAUGAUGCUGCCUCCGACUGUCUGAACAUCAGACUGAACCACUGCUGACAGACACAUCAUGGAGCUCAGAACCUCCUCUUCCUGUCCAGAUUAUUUCUGAUGCAGCAGCAGCAGCACAUCUACAAAUAUCUACAUGAGACGCAGCUGCUACUCUGGUGAUAAUAAUCUCACUGGUUCCAGCUAGACCUCUGACAUGGGUGUAGAUUUCAUUGAGAUAAGCAGGAGAUGGGCGUCAUGAACACAAAGUUUCCUUCAUUUGUCGCCUUUCUCCAUCAGUUUGUAGUAAAAACGCCUUCAUUUCUUAUUAAAUCAGGAGCCUAAUAGCACUUCCAAACAUCAUGCAUUGAUGUUUUAAAGCAUUCUGAACUGUUUUCAGACAUUUACUCUCUUGUCGAUCAAAUUAAAUCUUCUCACUCACCACCAGGUUUGAAAAGCAUCUCAUCUUUUUAAAAAAACCCACAAUGAUGCCAUUUAACUGACCUGAAAACUGCCAAAACAAAACGAAUUGAUGGAUUUUUAUUUGUCUUUCAACUGCUCAUCCUUGACAGUGUUUCAUCAGAAAAAAAAACGAAUUAGUGAAAUUUUAAAAAAGAGUUAUUUGCAACAAGUAGAUGAA